GCGAGGGCUGCCGGAGCCGCGAGGUUCGCCCGCACCGGCCCGGGAGGGCUGCCCCGAUCGGCGGGGUGCGGCGGUGCCCGGAAACAACUCUACACCCGUGCUGAAAACGUGACAUCCUUUUACUACGCUGUCUCCAUUCGCCAGUCUGAGCACCGUUUGGGAUUGGGGUCUGGGUUCUCGAGGAGUUCCAGAUCUCCACAGCUAUCGGCCACUCCCUCCCCUGAAGGAGGCGUUCCAAUGUGACUCCGGCAGUUGGGUUCCCGCAGCUUUGGCCAGGCUUCCUGCCGACGGAGCUCCUGAGAAGCUCAGCAGCUUCAGGUUCUUCGUGCCUUUUCUGCUGUAGUUGCUUGGACAAGCGGUGACGUUAAGUGAGCCUGUAAGAAGCUUUCAGCAUCUUCCUCACCUCUUCCUUCAGGCUGUCUCCCAGCUGAACCCAACCUGCUGCUGCAUUAAGGCAAGGGAGCCUUUCAGCCGGAGCUGCCGUGCACACAGCAUUCCGUGCCUCCAACGAGGCUUUUCUUAGAUGAAACCUCACCUUUUGGCAGCUGAGAGCUGCACCUGCUGCCUGACUGUUGCUUUCUGAAUUACUGGUAUUUUAACCAAAAGAUUUCUUCCUUUGCCUCUGCUUGCUCUGUCAGCCAUCCUCUUACUGAAAAGCCGUUUAAAAUAAGCUGGUGGUCACGCCUGGCUCUCCAAAGGGAGAUAGGAAGGAAAGCGCUCCCCAGGCCUGUGCGGUUGCCCCAUUCAGCUGCAGCCCGGUUUAGACGCCUGCUGGAGUUAAUCAGUUCCAGCCACAGCAGGGGGGGGAAGGCUUUGAAAUUCCAGCGUGUACCAUAAGGGAGAUAAAGAGGAAACUUUCACUGACACACUAAUCCUGCACAGCAGCGGCUUGUCUCCAGCAUCCAGCCCUUCCCGAUCUACAGUGCUUAUCUCCUGCCAGCAGCAAGCACACAAGGGAGAAGGGCAGAAUAUAUGUGAGCACGGCAUCGUGUGUCCCAGAGCACAAGGUCCUGCCUUGCUGGACAGAGGGGAGGCAGGCUGGGGGUGCUCUGUCUCAUGGCUGGAUCUCGUGCAGGGCCUGGAUUUGCUGCAAUGAGAUGUGGCAUGGAGGUCUGGCUGCCCAGGUGCUGCUGCUUUGCCUCCUGGGUGAGCAUGGCUCAGCUCACCUGUGGUCUGAGCAGUGUGCUCCAGCUGUGCUUCCACCUGAGUCUGGGAAAAGACACUCAGCUGGAAAUAGAAAGGGAUUUGGUUCUCUUCAUAUUUAAUGUUUCUGUCUCUUUAGAAGGACAGAAAAAAUCGCAUGC
ensembl:lncRNA